rnacentral:rRNA from 1 species
AAAAGUAAGGUCUAAUAGCAAGUCGAGCGGAUGACGGGAGCUUGCUCCUUGAUUCAGCGGCGGACGGGUGAGUAAUGCCUAGGAAUCUGCCUGGUAGUGGGGGACAACGUUUCGAAAGGAACGCUAAUACCGCAUACGUCCUACGGGAGAAAGCAGGGGACCUUCGGGCCUUGCGCUAUCAGAUGAGCCUAGGUCGGAUUAGCUAGUUGGUGGGGUAAUGGCUCACCAAGGCGACGAUCCGUAACUGGUCUGAGAGGAUGAUCAGUCACACUGGAACUGAGACACGGUCCAGACUCCUACGGGAGGCAGCAGUGGGGAAUAUUGGACAAUGGGCGAAAGCCUGAUCCAGCCAUGCCGCGUGUGUGAAGAAGGUCUUCGGAUUGUAAAGCACUUUAAGUUGGGAGGAAGGGCAGUAAGUUAAUACCUUGCUGUUUUGACGUUACCGACAGAAUAAGCACCGGCUAACUCUGUGCCAGCAGCCGCGGUAAUACAGAGGGUGCAAGCGUUAAUCGGAAUUACUGGGCGUAAAGCGCGCGUAGGUGGUUCGUUAAGUUGGAUGUGAAAGCCCCGGGCUCAACCUGGGAACUGCAUCCAAAACUGGCGAGCUAGAGUACGGUAGAGGGUGGUGGAAUUUCCUGUGUAGCGGUGAAAUGCGUAGAUAUAGGAAGGAACACCAGUGGCGAAGGCGACCACCUGGACUGAUACUGACACUGAGGUGCGAAAGCGUGGGGAGCAAACAGGAUUAGAU